rnacentral:rRNA from 1 species
UACGGGGGGAGCAAGCGUUGUUCGGAUUUACUGGGCGUAAAGGGCGCGUAGGCGGUCAGCACAAGUCAGUUGUGAAAUCUCCGGGCUUAACUCGGAAAGGUCAACUGAUACUGUGCGACUAGAGUGCAGAAGGGGCAACUGGAAUUCUCGGUGUAGCGGUGAAAUGCGUAGAUAUCGAGAGGAACACCUGCGGCGAAGGCGGGUUGCUGGCUGACACUGACGCUGAUGCGCGAAAGCCAGGGAGCGAACGGG